rnacentral:rRNA from 1 species
GGGGUACGAUGAGUGCUAGAGUUUGAUCCUGGCUCAGGACGAACGCUGGCGGCGUGCCUAAUACAUGCAAGUCGAGCGGACAGAAGGGAGCUUGCUCCCGGAUGUUAGCGGCGGACGGGUGAGUAACACGUGGGUAACCUGCCUGUAAGACUGGGAUAACUCCGGGAAAUCCGGAGCUAAUACCGGAUAGUUCCUUGAACCGCAUGGUUCAAGGAUGAAAGACGGUUUCGGCUGUCACUUACAGAUGGACCCGCGGCGCAUUAGCUAGUUGGUGGGGUAAUGGCUCACCAAGGCGACGAUGCGUAGCCGACCUGAGAGGGUGAUCGGCCACACUGGGACUGAGACACGGCCCAGACUCCUACGGGAGGCAGCAGUAGGGAAUCUUCCGCAAUGGACGAAAGUCUGACGGAGCACACGCCGCGUGAGUGAUGAAGGUUUUCGGAUCGUAAAGCUCUGUUGUUAGGGAAGAACAAGUGCGAGAGUAACUGCUCGCACCAUGACGGUACCUAACCAGAAAGCCACGGCUAACUACGUGCCAGCAGCCGCGGUAAUACGUAGGUGGCAAGCGUUGUCCGGAAUUAUUGGGCGUAAAGGGCUCGCAGGCGGUUUCUUAAGUCUGAUGUGAAAGCCCCCGGCUCAACCGGGGGAGGGUCAUUGGAAACUGGGAAACUUGAGUGCAGAUUUAGAGGAGAGUGGAAUUCCACGUGUAGCGGUGAAAUGCGUAGAGAUGUGGAGGAACACCAGUGGCGAAGGCGACUCUCUGGUCUGUAACUGACGCUGAGGAGCGAAAGCGUGGGGAGCGAACAGGAUUAGAUACCCUGGUAGUCCACGCCGUAAACGAUGAGUGCUAAGUGUUAGGGGGUUUCCGCCCCUUAGUGCUGCAGCUAACGCAUUAAGCACUCCGCCUGGGGAGUACGGUCGCAAGACUGAAACUCAAAGGAAUUGACGGGGGCCCGCACAAGCGGUGGAGCAUGUGGGGGGAAAAAAAACCCCCCGGGGGG